GCUCGGAUGAACGCUAGCUGGGAGCUUCACACAUGCAAGUCGAACGGGAGUGGCAGCUCGCUCCCAUGAGACUGGCGCACGGGUGAGUAACGCGUAUGCAACCUACCUUUAACAGAGGAAUAGCCCAUAGAAAUUUGGAUUAAUACCUCAUAGUUCUGAGAGACCGCAUGGUUUUCAGAUAAAGCUCAUGCGGUUAAAGAUGGGCAUGCGUGACAUUAGUUAGUUGGUGAGGUAACGGCUCACCAAGCCUACGAUGUAUAGGGGAUCUGAGAGGAUGGUCCCCCACACUGGUACUGAGACACGGACCAGACUCCUACGGGAGGCAGCAGUGAGGAAUAUUGGUCAAUGGGCGCAAGCCUGAACCAGCCAUGCCGCGUGAAGGAUGAAGGCCCUAUGGGUCGUAAACUUCUUUUAUACACCAAGAAAAAGCAGGACGUGUCCUGCCCCGACGGUAGUGUAUGAAUAAGCAUCGGCUAACUCCGUGCCAGCAGCCGCGGUAAUACGGAGGAUGCAAGCGUUAUCCGGAUUCAUUGGGUUUAAAGGGUGCGUAGGCGGCUUUUUAAGUCAGUGGUGAAAUCCUGUCGCUUAACGAUAGAAUUGCCGUUGAUACUGAAGAGCUUGAGUACAAUUGAGGUAAGCGGAAUGUGUAGUGUAGCGGUGAAAUGCUUAGAUAUUACACAGAACACCGAUUGCGAAGGCAGCUUACUAAACUGUUACUGACGCUGAUGCACGAAAGCGUGGGGAGCGAACAGGAUUAGAUACCCUGGUAGUCCACGCAGUAAACGAUGAUCACUCGCUGUAUGCGAUACACAGUAUGCGGCCAAGCGAAAGCAUUAA
rnacentral:rRNA from 1 species